AAUCAUCCUAUAUAUAUGUUAUCAUAAAUCCGAACUAAGCGAAUUUAUAGGGAAUUUAAAGUAUAGUUGGUGUUGAAUGCUUGCAUUUAUGUGAGAAUCCUAAAAACUAUAUGGGGAUGCCCACCUGGUAUUUUUAUCGGGGUUUAUCGCUAUAGCAUAUAUGUAGGAUUUUUU
rnacentral:other from 1 species